rnacentral:snRNA from 1 species
AUCGCUUCUCGGCUCUUUUGAGCUAAGAUCAAGUGUAGUAUCUGUUCUUCUCAGUUUAAUACCUGGGACGGAAACGAUUCGUUUCCUCUAUGUAUUAAUCGGAUUUUUGAACUUGGAGUAUGGUGCUGGAGCUUGCUCCACCCUGCUCACGGG